UACGGAGGGAGCUAGCGUUGUUCGGAAUUACUGGGCGUAAAGCGCACGUAGGCGGCUUUUUAAGUCAGGGGUGAAAUCCCGGGGCUCAACCCCGGAACUGCCCUUGAAACUGGAGAGCUAGAAUCUUGGAGAGGCGAGUGGAAUUCCGAGUGUAGAGGUGAAAUUCGUAGAUAUUCGGAAGAACACCAGUGGCGAAGGCGACUCACUGGACACGUAUUGACGCUGAGGUGCGAAAGCGUGGGGAGCAAACAGG
rnacentral:rRNA from 1 species